GCGUCUGUGGUCCAAGGAAAGACGUCCACCAAGUGGGAGAUGCAGGUGCAAGGCCUGCCGGGCGCUCCA
rnacentral:tRNA from 1 species